GGCCUAUAAAUAGACAUAGUGGUUGAAUUAGAACAAUAAGGUAAAUAGCACAAAACGUACAUACUUUUUAAUACCACUGUGCAAAACAUCCAUACAUUUCCUUUUUUGGAAUUUUCACCUUUCAUUGCAGCAAAUGUCAUUUUCAUCCAUUUUACCAAUAAAAAGAUAAUUUUACCCUCCUAUUCAAAUAAAACAAAAAGAAAUGAAACGAAAGGUUAAAAAAUUAAUUGCAACAAUGAUCUCAAAUUUUUUAAAAAUUACAAAUUAACAUAUCAUCACCCAAAUCACCCACGCCACCCACCACUAUUAGCACUAUUCAAAUCAUCAUUGUGACCUCAAAUUCACGAUGCACCACCGUCACCUUCUUUUCAAAUUCACAACAACCACCACCUUAUUCACCUCAAACCCUCACCACCACCUUCAUUUCAAAUCCACCAUCAGCAUCCAUCUUCAUCCAUUUCACAGUCCACAACCACCCAUCUUCCACAAUCAACCACCACCAUCCCAUCUUCUGGAGCCAUCCAUCUUAAUCCCUUUCACAGCUCACCAACACCUGGCUUCCACAGUCAACUGCAACAAAUAUUGCCGACUUCUCCUCCGUUGGGUGGUUAUUUUCGACACCAAAGUUAAUCUUGAGUUCCGACGACGGAGCUUCACUGAUGACAAGGCUACUGUAUCAAUUCAUGAAGCGGUUGGACUUUGAAAUUUGAUUUUUAUUUUUAGUCCACCACCAUGUGCUAUGAGCUAAAUGCCCCAUAUGCUUUAGCGAGUCUGGUGGCAAAAUUCCUAUAGGCAUCAGAAGGAGAGUUCCAUCGGAAAAGGACCUUCAGAGACAGUGAUAGUGACGAAUAGCAUGUGUCAAAUGAAGGUAGAAGACAGAUUAUAGAUUUGAAACAUUGGGGCAAAUUGAUUAAGUGAUAAGGGCGUGGGAGUAGAGGGUAGUCGGUUAGUUGGUUUCCGAUGACGAUGGUUGCAAUUGGUAGUAGGGUCGGUUGGGGGGAGAGAGAUAGAGAGUCACAGAUUUUUUUGAAUGAGAAGGAGUGGGGAUUAUUGAAAUUGAAAGUCAAAUAAUUUUUUGAAAAUUUGGGACUAUUUUACAAUUAAUUCUUUAUUCUUUUAUUUCUUUUCUUUUUGUUUUAUUUGAAUAGGAAUGUAAAAUUGUCCUUUUAUUGAAAAAAUGGAUGAAAAUGAC
rnacentral:lncRNA from 1 species